CGGGAAACUGGGGAUAAUACCCUAUAGACUAUGGAUGCUGGAAUGCUUCGUAGUUGAAAGGUCCGCCGCUGUAGGAUGGGUCUGCGGCCGAUUAGGUUGUUGUUGGGGUAACGGCCCAACAAGCCUGUAAUCGGUACGGGUUGUGGGAGCAAGAGCCCGGAGAUGGAUUCUGAGACACGAAUCCAGGCCCUACGGGGCGCAGCAGGGCCGAAAACUUUACAAUGGCGGGAACCGUGGAUAAGGGAACUCUGAGUGCCCGUAAAAUCGGGCUGUCCAUCAGUUUAAAUAACUGGUGAAGAAAGGGCCGGGCAAGACCGGUGCCAGCCGCCACGGUAACA
rnacentral:rRNA from 1 species